GGGUUGGCUCAGGUUUCCAAGUGACUUGGGGAUAGGGUUGCCAGAUAAAAUACAGGGCACCCAGUCAAACUUGAAUUUCAGAUAAAGAACAAACUUUUUUUUUCAGUAUUGCAUGGGACACACUUAUACAAAAAAAAAAAAAAAAUCAUUGUGUAUCUAAAAUUCAAAUUUAACUGGGUGCCCUGUAUUUUCAUUUGCUAAAUCUGGUUCCCCUUCUCCAAGAAAAUGACAGACUUUAUGUUGCUCUUUGCCACGAUCACUUCCAAAACACAUCCUGGCCCAAGCCCUUCCAACUUGAACGUUCUCUGUAAGCCAACAAAUGUCUGUGUGAAUUCUUCCUUUGCUGAAUGUCUCAAGUCUCUUUUUUUAUUGAAAUGGUAAUGCCGGCCACACCCUUACCUGAACAGGCUGGUCUCCUUCCCCUGACUCCUCCUCUGCCCUGUUUAUUGCUCAUUUCCCCUCCCCUGCCCUUGUCUUCUGGCCCAUUUCCAAAAGGGUCACAGCCAAAAACCUGUGCAUGGUUCACCACAACCAAGUAUUAACCAAUCAACAUGAACCAGCACUCCUCCCUCCUCCUCUUCACCCCCAGCCCAGUGAUAGUCAAUGCCCCUGCCUCCCUGGCCACCGAGACGUUGGAGAGCCAAUGGGCUGUGUCCAGUGGGAACACAGGAGCUGCAAGGACGGAGCCACCUGGAACCAGGAGGGACUAUGUUUGACCAAGGCUCAGUGGACUCACCACUGUGCCCAUGAGGAUUUUUACCUUCUGGACUGGCCUUCCCCACCACGUGCUGUGGGCCAUCCCUGCAACUUGGACCUAGGGCAGAAGUCUGUCCCCCUCUAUGUGGUCAAGAUGGAUGAAAGUUGA
rnacentral:lncRNA from 1 species